CGAGGAGGGAGCGAGUCUGGUCACGAUUUAUAAAAAGUCAGAUUUGGAGGAGGCACAUCGAGGGGGCAGAUAUCUUUCGCUUUGGUCUCAGGAAGAAAUCUCGUCAGAAUGGCCUCGAAAGUCGAAGUUUCCGUAGAAUAUUGCGGUGCCUGAGGGUACGCCCCACGCUACAGGGAAUUGGCUGAUAAGAUCAAGGCCGAUGUCCCUGAAGCAAAUGUUGUCGGCCAAGUUGGUCGCACAUCUUCAUUUGAAGUAAUGGUGAAUGGAAAACUGAUUUUUUCCAAACUUGAACAAGGAAGUUUUCCCUCUUUCAAAGAGAUUGUUGUUGUGGUACGUGACUGCAGCCAAGGCAAAGAACCCUGUGAAGUGACAGAGAAAGAGGAAUCAUCAUGCAUCCUGCUGUAGUCCAGCCACAUGUUAACAAUCCUAUUAAAUCAAAUCACUUUAAUCCAGUUGACAAUUAUGUGCACUUGCACACAAAAUCGAUAAAAAAUUGAAUCAUUUUAUUUAUUAAAGCAGCUUAUUGUUUCUUCUAGGCACCUAAAAGCCAAUCACCAAAGUUUCUUUUUUAUGAUUGAUGUCCUCUUAAAAACUACUAGUUGUUAUUUAGCAUGUAGUAAAGUUAAACCUAGUAGAUCUUCUUCCGUUGUCUCAGCGGUAGUUGAUGUGCGUAAAGUGUUUGGGCUUUAAGAAUAGAUGAGAUGCCCUAGAGCCAAAAUUUGUAAACUUCAGCCAAUCCUUCCUUGAUAAAAAUUUUAGUAAUGGUGGUUAGUUGCCUGUAAAAAGAAACUACAACACAUUGUUAGCUAUUGUGUGUAUUAAUUU